rnacentral:rRNA from 1 species
GAGACUCUGUGCGCGUGCAUAUCAAUAAGCGGAGGAAAAGAAACUAACAAGGAUUCCCUUAGUAACGGCGAGUGGAGCGGGAAGAGCUCGAAUUUGAAAUCUUCAAGGUUCUACCUUGACGAAUUGUAGUUUAUAGAAGUGUUUUCUGUUAGUGGAGUGGCAAAAGUUCUUUGGAAUAGGACAUCAUAGAGGGUGAGAAUCCCGUAUUUGGUCAUUCUUUCUAGCUUUGUGAUACACUUUCAACGAGUCGGAUUGUUUGGGAAUGCAUUCCAAAAUGGGUGGUAAAUUUCAUCUAAAGCUAAAUAUUGGCGAGAGACCGAUAGCAAACAAGUACCGUGAGGGAAAGACGAAAAGAACUUUGAAAAGAGAGUUAAACAGUACGUGAAAUUGUCAAAAGGGAAGCGCUUGACACCAGUGUUGUUUUUCCGAAAAUCAAUUACGAAUGUUUUGUUUUUGAGGAGUUAUGACUUCAUCGGCUUGCUCCUUUCUUUAUGAAACUUUCUUAAUGCACUUUUCGGUUAACAAGUCAACAUCAAUUUCUUUUGUUGUAAAAGGGUAUGAGGAAGGUGGCUUUCUUUUCGGAGAAAGUGUUUAUAGCCUUGUGCCUCUGCAAUCGGAGAGAUUGAGGUCUGCAGCGUAGAUCCUUCGGGGUUAGAUACGUUCGUGCUAAGUUAUAGCUUUUCAUAGACAACUUGUUGACUAUGUUUAGUCUUGUAGCUUACUCGCUGACGCUAUUUUACCUACGCUUAGGAUGUUGACAGCAGUAUAGACUGU